CCACUUUUUUUUUUUCUCAUCUUCCAUAACCGCUCUUUACUCUUCCCCUUCCUCCAUCUCCCUCCCUCACAACACCAAACCACCACCACCACCACAACCAGUGGUUGCCGCCACCAGCACUAUCAGCAGCCGUGCGCCGCCAGCAGCCAUCACCGGCCGGUGGCUGUCCCCCACGCACCCCUUCUCUCUCCUCCAUUUAAUGCUCAAUUCAUAAGAGGGGCGUAAGAAACUCUUUCGGAGUGAUUUUUGCGACCUGUUAUCUUGCAGUUGCAGGUAAGUACACGCAGUAGCUAACUCUUUUACAUGCAUCUUGAAUAUGUAUUCUUUGCGUAACAAUUAGGGCUGCACACGGUCCGGUCUGGUCUGGUUUGACAGAAUAAUCAGACCAGAUCAGAAAUUCCGGUCUGGAAAUUUUUCAGACCAGACCAAAUCAGUCAAAAGACUAGACCGGACCAGACCAGACCGUUCUAGAACGGUCUGGUCUGGUCUGGUCUACGGUUUUAUUUUUUUUUUUUUUGUAUUUUUUUAAUUGAGUGAGGAUAGUUUCUUGCAUUUUAACAUUCAGAAUUUCAACAACAUUCAGAAUUCAACAACAUAUCAACAACAUUCAACAUUCAACAUAAUUAACAAUUUAACAUUCAGAAUUUCAUUCAACAUUCAGAAUUCCAAUCAAACCCUAAAACUGAUAAAUUCCAACAAAUUCCAAUCAAACAAUUUAACAUUACGAGAUUCAUUCAACAUUCAACUGAAAAUUAAGCAAUUACAAAUGUUUUUUUAAGAGAUUCAUUCAACAUUACGAGAUUCAUUCACCAGAUACUUGGCAUUUUGAGCAGUAAAACAGAAGGCUUUCCCCAUUGCUUUCCCAGUAAAACAAUCGGUUAAAGAGGGUGAAAAUUGCAGAAUUGGUUUUAAGGGUUUUGAUAUUUGGGCUUUAUGUUCUUGCUGCUUCUCUUAUUGGGUUUGAAUCUGAAGUUAAGGUCAUCUUCUCCAUCACAAAAAAGACUAAGUUCACUGAUAUGAAAGAUUCUACACUUGAAAAAUCAAAACAGAAGGCUAAAUUUUCCAGUAAAACAGAAGGCUUGAAAAAACCCUAAAAAAUCAAAAAAUCAA